CUGCAUGGCUGUCGUCAGCUCGUGUCGUGAGAUGUUGGGUUAAGUCCCGCAACGAGCGCAACCCUUGCCUUUAGUUGCCAGCAGUUCGGCUGGGCACUCUAAAGGGACUGCCGGUGUUAAACCGGAGGAAGGUGGGGAGUGACGUCAAGUCCUCAUGGCCUUUAUGACCAGGGCUACACACGUACUACAAUGGCCGAUACAAAGGGCAGCGACACUGCGAGGUGAAGCCAAUCCCGUAAAAUCGGUCUCAGUCCGGAUUGGAGUCUGCAACUCGACUCCAUGAAGUUGGAAUCGCUAGUAAUCGUGGAUCAGCAUGCCACGGUGAAUACGUUCCCGGGCCUU
rnacentral:rRNA from 1 species